rnacentral:rRNA from 1 species
UCAAGAACAUUCGACAAUGGGCGAAAGCCUGAUCGAGCGACGCCGCGUGCAGGAAGAAGGCCUUCGGGUCGUAAACUGCGGUAGUGGGGUAGAAACGCAAGUGAUCGCCCCACGGAAAGAGGUGGGUAACUACGUGCCAGCACCAGCGGUAAUACGUAGACCUCGAGCGUUAUCCGGAUUUAUUGGGCGUAAAGAGCGUGUAGGAGGUUGCGUGCGUCUGCGGUUAAAUCCCACCGCCUAACGGUGGACCUGCCGUGGAUACGGCGCAGCUAGAGGGGGUUAGAGGUGCAUGGAACGCACGGUGUAGGGGUGAAAUCCGUUGAUAUCGUGCGGAACACCAAAGGCGAAGGCAGUGCACUGGGACCUUCCUGACUCUGAGACGCGAAAGCGUGGGGAGCAA